ensembl:snRNA U1 U1 spliceosomal RNA
AUAUUUGCUGGCAAGGGAGAUACCAUGAUCAAGAAGCUGGUUUUCCCAGGGUGAGGCCCAUCUAUUGCAUUUGGCAUAUGUUGACCCCUUUGAUUUCAUCAAAUCCAGGAAACUUCACUGAAUAAUUUGUGGUAGCUAGGGACUGGGUUCACCACACACACA